UUUUUAAGUAAACUACACUGUUGUUACUCCCGGCACUGCCUACAAAGUGUUUUUCAUUUAGCAUCAUAAUCGGAAAUAGCGAAUUUUUGGUCUGAUUAAAAGUAUCCUUAUAUUAUAUGUCAAAGUAACGUGAAUUCAAUUAUUCUUCCCUAAAUUUUAUAUUAGAUUUGGUGCAUAAAUAAUUGGUAUAAAAACUAAAAUGCAGCUCUCCUAUAAAUUUGUAAAAAUUAAAUAAUUUUACGGUGAAACCCACGAAUAGAAUGAGAAUUUAGAGCUUUCGAUUACAACGACUGGAAUCCGCUUAUUAUAAACACAAAUUUACAUAAUUUUAAAAACAAUACCCCGCAAUUCCCUUUUUAUGCGUCAAUGUUUAAUUAAUUACAUUAUUGGGCACGUUUGUGCUUCUGGUCGUUAUAAUCAAAAUGCUUUUAACAAAGUGUGAUAUGAAAGUUCCUUAAAGAAGAGUUAUCAAUCACGCAUUAUAUAAAGGGUUUUAUUUCACGAUUUUUUUAAAAUUCCGUAAUACCGACUCAGCUGAUUGCUCUCUCACCGCACAGUGUUGCCAAGCAGUACAUUUCGAAAUAAUUUACAAAAUAAAGUUAGAAAAAUUAUAAUUUUUGUUAAAAUAGCUUAAAAAUACUGUUGAAUAAUGUUAAUUAUAGAUAAAUGAACUAUUUGCAUUUGCUGGUUUUUGGCUUUGAAAAAUUGUGACUCAUAACGCGGAUGUGUGAAAAAGUGUGUAAGCAAAAAUAUCAAUGGCAACAUUGUGUAGAUACAACCAAACACACACAAACCGAUGUAUUGUGUAAAUACGUAAUUAAAAGAACGCAGUUGUUCUCGGGGUGCGUUUUUGUGCACUGUAAGGGACUGCGGUAAGGGAUUCCGUGCGGUGUUCACUGUUUUCAGCAUAACACUCGAGAAGGUAGAAUGCAACGUAGGCAACAGCAAAUCGAUAUUUUGGAAGCUACUAUAACGGCUGAAGAACUUUUACAUGGCCCAGGAAUAGAUGACACAGUGAUGUAUUAAUGCUCUGUUUUUAUUUUUGUAAAAUAAAGCUGCCAAACUAACGACGAAACCCAAAGCGAACAGUACGGGUCAUAAAUUUAACUAGACCUCUGUCAGGAUCACAUCGUUGCACUGUUGCGUUUGCAUGUGGAUCCCGAUCCUUGACAAUUGGAACACUGAUAUCACUAAACUAAAUCGAGAGAUCUUGCACGUAAAUAUUUUCAGGAAUAAAUCUUUAUGUUCUGAUAGGUGUAUUAAAGGUUUUCAGUGUGACAUCCAGGCGGGAGGCGUUAAAAUAAAUAGAAUUAUAUAACAUUUUUAGCGAUAUGUGGCGCAUAGCAGAACGCUUGUCUUUAUGUGUAUCAAGUUGUGACUGCAUUUUUAAAUCAGUGCGAAAUGCUUUAAAUAAAGUUUAUCCUAUUUAUAGUAAAGUUUUA